CAGAGAUCUCAAAUGAGGGAACCCUGGGAGAGCCGCCGACUCCAACUACCCUCCAUGUACGACCCAUACUAGAUCUGACCAACUGCCCAUCCUACCUCCUCUACGUUCUUGAUAGCCCUUCUUUGUCUCAGUAGAGUCUUUCAGUGGCACGUUUCGGUCCUCUUCCCCAUUAUUUAGGAAAAGUGAGCCACCGGUUCAGGUACAAGAUACUAUCAUUACCGCCUGAACAAUUAGACAUCCAACCCGUAAUCGCAACGACCCAAUUGCAAGAG
rnacentral:lncRNA from 1 species